CUAGCUCUGUGGAUUCUUAUCAAGUUCAGUUGUCCAGUGUUGUAAAUUGUUGCUGUUUUGUUUUUACAGGGUGGAUCAUACUCCUCACAAAACUAUGGUGAUAGCCAAGUAAGUAGUAGGUUUUUAUUUCCUCCCACUGAGGUUGUGCUUUACAAGGUUCCAUUAUCUCUGUUCAAAAUUAGCUCUGUAAUGUUGUAAUAUUUAUUCUAAUUUUGUUUGUUUUGCAGAGUGGCUCAUCAUCUUCACAACAUUAUGGUGGCAGCCAGAACUAUGGAGGUGGCCAAGGUGGAUCAUCCUCUUCAGACAGCUAUAGUGAUAAUCAGGAUUCACAGGUUUCUUCAGAUGAUAAUCCCAAUGCUUGUGAUGAUAAUGACACUACAUAUAGUGCUAAUGGUCAGAGUUCUGGUUGUUCAAACAGAAAGAUUGUUGUUGCACGCGACACAUCACAUGUUUUGAGCAAAAGAGACUAUGAUGUACAGAAUGGAUCUUCUACUUCAAAUGGCAACCACACCAACCUCCAGGAUGGAUCCUUUAUUGCAACCGGUGGUGGAUCAAGUAGCCAGGGUGGUUGCAUUUGUCCUGAUGGAAGCAGUGGAAUUAGACAGGGAGCGCCAGGUUCUUCACACAGCACGUACUCUGGUAACCAGGGGGGACCUUCCUUCUAUCCUGGUGGAUCUCAUGGACAGGGCGAGUCUUCUGUCUAUGACAGCAGCAGCGAAUCCUAUGGUCAGGAUGGACCUUCCACAUACGAUAUUGGUGGACCUUAUGGUGAGGAUUCACCUCCCGUAGGAGGCGAUGAAUCUGAUGAAAGUGAUUCCCCCACACCAUCUGGCAGCCAGCAUAGUGGAGCGGCGUCAUCUUCUCAUGGUGGUAGUUACUCCAGUCGACAGGACUCAUCUUCAUCAGGAAGCAGCCAGUAUGGUGGGCAGGGUUCACCUUCUUCAGGAGGCGGCCAGUCUGGUGGACAGAGUGGAUGUGAUUGUUCUGGGGGGACCUCUAGUGGAUCUCCUACCUUAGCCAGAAGUGAUUCCUCUGCAAAUGGUUCAUCAUCUUCUGGAGGCAGCCAGCACAACAGCCAAGGUUCCUAUUCUGGAGCUAGCCAGUAUGGAGAACGUGGAUCAUCAUCUUACGGAGGCAGCAGUUACAGUGGACAAGGUUCACCCUCUUCAGGAGGAAGCCAGCAUGGUGGGCAGGGUUCACAUUUCUCAGGAGGCAGCCAGUAUGGUGGACAGGGUCCGUAUUUCUCAGGUGGCAGCCAUUAUGGAGGACAGGGCUCACCUUCUUCAGGAGGCGGCCAGUCUGGUGGACAGGUAUGCUUUUCUUUCUCCACAGCAUUCAGUUAUGCAAAUAUCAGUCACUCUCAGUUUACCUUGAGCAUUUUUCCUUCACAAAGGAAGGAUUACCCAUCUCAUGCAGAUUGAAUGUAAAAAGUGAAGUACCAAAUGGUGAGCUACUGGCCACCUCUCAGUUAGUUGCCUCAGGGUAGAAAGCACUUGGUAGUCCUCCGCUGGAAGUCAUCUUUAGUGUUUUCCAUAAUAUCUGUGGCAUGAAAGAAUACUGCAGGUAGUCCAGGUGCUCUGGCUUCUUUAAGGAAAAAACAAUUACAUGUUCCAUAGUACUGCUCAGAACUUUUUACACUGUUUUGAUGUGUAGGGCCGUAACUUUAAGUGAGAAAUUAGAAGACCAUAUUUAAGCAUUAGAUCAGUAAGUGUACAGCUAUACUGAAAGGAAGGUGAAGGGAGAGAGAAAGAAACUACUUUCUAGAUGGAACUUGAUGAGUCUAUGAGCAAGAUUUUAUGAUCUGUUUUCUUGCAAUAGCAGGGUUUAAGUUUGAUUUGCUAAUUCAAAGGCCUCUUCUAGUCAUGCACUCUCUAGAAAAUUAGUUUGGUUUUGUGUUACACAGGGUGGAUGUCUGUGUCCUGGUGGAAGUUCAGGCUCUUCUGGAGGAAGCAGCUACCAUGGUGGACAGGUAAGCAGUAUUUCUUCAGCAUUUAUACAGAUUCAGUCAUAUCCUUUUAUAAAGUCUCUGCUGAAUUUACUAGAGACCAGAUUUUACUUUGCAGUUUUAUAAGUCUGCUUAACUGGAAAUAACAUGUAAGGAAAGUUCACCGGAUUCAUUCCAUUGCAUAAACUGUUAAUAUGGUUUCCUGAUAAGUAGCCAUUUUCCUUUGUAUUAAUAACUGUGUAAGGAUUUUCCAGUUGAUGUCAUGAUUGUUGAUGUCAUGAUGUUGUUGAUCAAUGUUUCCACAUUGAUGUCAUGAUUGUUGUUUAAAUUAGGUCCAAUUUUUUUGGUGCCAGUUGAUACUUAAAAAAAUAAUUUACAAAAGUUGAGUUUCACAUUUUUUUUGCAGGGUUCAUCUUAUUCUGGAAGCAGUCAGUAUGGUGGACAGGUAAGCAACUCUUCGUUUUUAAGGUCUUCUUCCUACAAGCUAUUUAUUAAAUGAAAAAUAUGAUGCAGUGGGUUUACUGACAGUUUUUUC
ensembl:lncRNA